GUUCCUCUUCGCUCGGAACCUCGGCCAGGCCGGCACUUGGGCUCCGAGAGAACUUAUUUUUUUUUUUGGAAAGCACAGCUCGAACCGUUCAGGAUCCCGAAGGUUGAUUUCCGUAGCCCGAAGACUUCUCUUUUUGGUUCGUCUUUUUUGAUUUUUUUUUUUUUUUCUUCGCCAGUAUCUGGGUCUAUCUCAAACGGCAAGAUGUCCAGUAAUGUCCCGGCGGAUAUGACGAUGGAGAAGUUGGGAAAAUGUAGCAAGGUGGCUCGAAGUGGCGAAGAGCUCUUCCUCUUUGCUAGCAGUCUCUGAGCACUGGUGUCUUGGAGCUUCUGAAAACGUCAGUGGCCGUGGGCAGCGCUGAGGACGGAUGUCCCUACAGAUACCGAG
rnacentral:lncRNA from 1 species